CGGACUUCUCGGAUUCGAAUAGGUAUGAAAUUUUUUUAUGCAGUAUUAAUUAUUAUAACGGAUUGAAAUACUGUGUUUGUCAUGUAUAGCCAUAAUUGCAAGUAGUGAAAAUGAAACUGUUUUCUGUUCAGAUGAACAUCAGUAUUUGUACUUUGUACAACAGUAGUAGUACCAGGUGAUAAUAGUGAGAGGUUGCUGUCGGUGAGUGUAGUGAUUCCCCCUCUAACGGGCCAGGCCCUCAUCACAGGCCCAUCAGAUAUGAUGUUCCUUUUGUUCUAUUUGGUGUCCCAUCAGUCCACUCCAAACAGUCCAGUCCAAUCCUUCCAUCAGCUUUUGUCAGCUAUUGUAAAUAAGACCAUUUUCGGGUUUGGUGAAAAUGUGUUAUGUACCUAGAAGGGAAAAUCACAAAAAUAUACAAUUUAAAAGUCUAUACAAUUUAUCAGUAGUUUUAACUUUUUAAAAUAUAUCAAUAGAAAACUAACAAAACUUAUCAAAUAAGAUAUAAAGAAAAAAAUAUAGUUAAAAAUAUCAAAAUUGGGUGAAGAAUAAUUUCUAUUCUUUCCUAUAAUUUCUCCUAAUAUAUUUUUUAAUUUCAUACCCAAAUCGCAUAACUGGGGUGUUGAUCAUGGUGGUUGUACGCCAUCGCGGGGAUAUAUAGUAAAUACUCGGAUAUGGUGUCGUUGGUGCGGCAAUUACGUAGUUGUUAUUGGUGAUAUCCAGUUAUCGCGGCGGAGAUCGAUGGUUGAUAUAUCUUCUCCAGGUAUUUACACAUGCAUGGUGGAUAUAUGCAAACUAUGGAAAAUCCAUCAUGUUUGACGCCUCAUUUUGCACAAGUUCUCCAAGAUCCAUUCACCAAAAUUUGUUUGUUGGGGUUGUGAGAUGGCAAUCAAAAAGGAUGCUUUUGAUAACAACAAUGCUCUUCAUCACUUUGACACAUUCUUCGGCUUGAGAUUGAGUUUCAAUAACAUAAUACACAGUGCAGGCAACGGAGGUCAAUAAUCUGGUAAUUGUCGCUAUCCCAGUUUGCAUAACGGUGGUGAUCAUGGUGGUUGUACUCCAUCAACGGCGGAUAGUAACUACUUGAAUAUGGUGUCAUUGCUGCGACAAAUAUGUAGUUAUUAUAGGUGAUAUUCAAUUGUGGCGGCAGAGAUCGGUGGUUGUUAUAUCUUCUCCGAUCGUUCACAUAUUCUGUAAAUGGUACAAGAAUGAUGUAGAAACUGGUGCUCCUAUAAACAUGAUGAAAUUGAUAUAGAAAUUGGUAUCCUCUAAAGAUUAUUUAACUACAUCUUAAAAAUCUGAUAUAAAUAUGGCAUAGAAACUGGUGUUCUGUAAAGAUUAUUUCAAAAAAACUUAUGACAUCAGAAUAUUGUAUAUUUCUAGGAGGUAUAAUUACCUCCUAAAAAUAUGUUAUAAAAAUAAUGUAGAAACUGGUGCUCCUAUAAAAAUGAUAUGAAAUUUAUAUAAAAAUUGGUGUCCUCUAAAGAUUAUAUAACUACAUCCUAAAAAUAUGAUAUAAACAUGCUAUAGAAACUGGUGUUCCGUAAAGGUUAUUUUAAAAGAAAUUGUGACAUCUGAAUAUGGCAUAUUUUUAGGAGGUAUAAUUACCUCCUAAAAAUAUGAUAUAAAAAUAAUGUAAAAACUGGUGUUCCUAUAACAUGAUAUGAAAUUGAUAUAGAAAUUAGUGUCCUCUAAUGAUCAUUUAACUACAUCCUAAAAAUAUAAUAUAAACAUGGUAUUGAAAGUGGUGUUUUGUAAGGG
rnacentral:lncRNA from 1 species